AACGAUAGUAGAGGUUGCGCUAAUUAUUAGUAGGUUAUAUGAUGUCCCGGAGGCAGAUGACUAUAGCAGAAAGGAUGCAGCGCCGAAGGAGAUGGUUUCCGGAGAUUGUUUCCUGGGUAUGUGGUUAACAGCCAUAUGACUGUCAUACAUAUUUUAUGUAUGGGGAGCUACUUAUAAG
rfam:Eubacterium sp. CAG:161 genomic scaffold, scf150